UUGGCCCAGAAAUAUGUAAGAAAAGGGUGUGAAGCAUACCUUGCGUAUGUACUUGAUGACAAAGAAUUAGAAAAGAAACCCGAAUCUGUGCCGGUGGUUUGUGAAUACCCGGAUGUUUUUCCUGAAGAAUUACUGGGUUUACCACCUAUUUGGGAGGUAGAGUUUGGUAUUGAGCUUGUACCUGGAACUACGCCAAUUUCGAUAGCUCCAUAUCGUAUGGC
rnacentral:lncRNA from 1 species